rnacentral:tRNA from 1 species
ACCCGUAUAGCUCAGCCGGGAUGAGCAGGUGCCUUACAAGCACAAGGUCGGGAGUUCGAUCCUCUCUACGGGUACCA